GUCAGGAUGGUCGAGUGGUCUGAGGCGCCAGACUCAAGUUCCGGUCCUCGUGAGAGGGCGUGGGUUUAAAUCCCACUUUUGACA
rnacentral:tRNA from 1 species